rnacentral:rRNA from 1 species
UACAGAGGGUGCAAGCGUUAAUCGGAAUUACUGGGCGUAAAGCGUGCGUAGACGGUUACAUAAGUCGGGUGUGAAAGCCCCGGGCUCAACCUGGGAAUUGCAUUCGAGACUGCGUAGCUAGGGUGCGGAAGAGGGAAGCGGAAUUCUCGGUGUAGCGGUGAAAUGCGUAGAUAUCGUAAGGAAGACCAGUGGCGAAGGCGGGUCUCUGGACAGUUCCUGACGCUGAGGCACGAAGGCCAGGGGAGCAAACGGG